rnacentral:rRNA from 1 species
GAUGAACGCUGGCGGCGUGCCUAAUACAUGCAAGUCGAGCGAACAGACGCGGAGCUUGCUCCUCUGAUGUUAGCGGCGGACGGGUGAGUAACACGUGGAUAACCUACCUAUAAGUCUGGGAUAAUUUCGGGAAACCGGAGCUAAUCCCGGAUAACCUGUUGAACCGCAUGGUUCAACAGUGAAAGUCGGUCUUUCUGUCACUUAUAGAUGGAUCUCGGCUGCAUUAGCUAGUUGGUAAGGUAACGGCUUACCAAGGCAACGAUGCGUAGCCGACCUGAGAGGGUGAUAGGCCACACGGGAACUGAGACACGGUCCAGACUCCUACGGGAGGCAGCAGUAGGGAAUCGUCCGCAAUGGGCGAAAGCCUGACGGAGCAACGCCGCGUGAGUGAAGAAGGUCUUCGGAGCGUAAAACUCUGUUAUGAGGGAAGAACAAAUGUGUAAGUAACUAUGCACGUCUUGACGGUACCUAAUCAGAAAGCCACGGCUAACUACGUG